rnacentral:rRNA from 1 species
AUUGAACGCUGGCGGCAGGCUUAACACAUGCAAGUCGAGCGGGGUGAUGGUGCUUGCACUAUCACUUAGCGGCGGACGGGUGAGUAAUGCUUAGGAAUCUGCCUAUUAGUGGGGGACAACAUCUCGAAAGGGAUGCUAAUACCGCAUACGUCCUACGAGAGAAAGCAGGGGAUCACUUGUGACCUUGCGCUAAUAGAUGAGCCUAAGUCGGAUUAGCUAGUUGGUGGGGUAAAGGCCUACCAAGGCGACGAUCUGUAGCGGGUCUGAGAGGAUGAUCCGCCACACUGGGACUGAGACACGGCCCAGACUCCUACGGGAGGCAGCAGUGGGGAAUAUUGGACAAUGGGGGGAACCCUGAUCCAGCCAUGCCGCGUGUGUGAAGAGGGCCUUAUGGUUGUAAAGCACUUUAAGCGAGGAGGAGGCUCUUUUGGUUAAUACCCAAGAUGAGUGGACGUUACUCGCAGAAUAAGCACCGGCUAACUCUGUGCCAGCAGCCGCCGUAA